rnacentral:rRNA from 1 species
CCUACGGGGGGCAGCAGUGAGGAAUAUUGGUCAAUGGACGAGAGUCUGAACCAGCCAAGUAGCGUGAAGGAUGACUGCCCUAUGGGUUGUAAACUUCUUUUAUAAAGGAAUAAAACGAGGCACGUGUGCCUUUUUGCAUGUACUUUAUGAAUAAGGAUCGGCUAACUCCGUGCCAGCAGCCGCGGUAAUACGGAGGAUCCGCGCGUUAUCCGGAUUUAUUGGGUUUAAAGGGAGCGUAGAUGGGUUGUUAAGUCAGUUGUGAAAGUUUGCGGCUCAACCGUAAAAUUGCAAUUGAUACUGGCAGUCGUGAGUACAGUUGAGGUAGGCGGAAUUCGUGGUGUAGCGGUGAAAUGCUUAGAUAUCACGAAGAACCCCGAUUGCGAAGGCAGCUUACUAAACUGUGACUGACAUUGAUGCUCGAAAGUGUGGGUAUCAAACAGGAUUAGAUACCCGAGUAGUC